CGUGGUAGCGUUUUUAAAAGAAUAAAGGUUUCUGUGUAGGAAACAGCUUUCAAAAGAUUUUUGUGGAUUUCUGUCUAAACCUGGAAUGUAAAACUGUGAUGUGAAUGGUGAAUGUAUGAAUGUAUAGUUAUCCUUAUAUUCAUCUGCUUGUGGUUGUAUCCUGGUUGUACUGUGUAUUUGAUCGACGCCGUGCAAAUACAGGGGAGACUCUGUCCGU
rnacentral:lncRNA from 1 species